rnacentral:rRNA from 1 species
GAUGAACGCUGGCGGCGUGCCUAAUACAUGCAAGUCGAGCGAACGGACGAUAAGCUUGUUGCUUUGAUGUUAGCGGCGGACGGGUGAGUAACACGUGUAUAACCUACUUAUAAGUCUGGGAUAACUACGGGAAACCGGAGCUAAUACCGGAUGAUAUUUUGCACCGCAUGGUUCAAAAGUGAAAGACGGUCUUGCUGUCACUAAUAGCUGGAUCCGCGCUGCAUUAGCUAGUUGGUAAGGUAACGGCUUAGCAAGGCAACGAUGCAUAGCCGACCUGAGAGGCGGAUAGGCCACCUUGGAAAGUGACCACCGUCAUGAGUCCUACGGGAGGGAGCAGUAGGGAAUGUUACGCAAUGGGGGAAAACAUUACGGAGCGACGGCGCGUGAGUUACAACAGUCUUCCGAGCGUAAAACCCUGUUAUUAGGGAAAAACAUAUGUGUAAGUAACUGUGCACAUCUUGACGGUAACUAAUAAAAAAGCAACGGCUAACUACGUG